GGCCAUAUCACGUUUAAACAGCGGUUCCUACACAAACACCGAAGUAAAGCAACGUCGAGCUUGGUUAGUACCUAGAUGGAUGAUCGACUGGGAAUACCAAAUGCUGUAAG